rnacentral:rRNA from 1 species
GAUGAACGCUAGCGGCAGGCCUAACACAUGCAAGUCGAGGGGUAGAGGUUGCUUGCAACCUUGAGACCGGCGCACGGGUGCGUAACGCGUAUGCAAUCUACCUUGUACAGAGGGAUAGCCCAGAGAAAUUUGGAUUAAUACCUCAUAGUGUUAUUGGAUGGCAUCAUUUGAUAACUAAAGUUCCAACGGUACAAGAUGAGCAUGCGUCCCAUUAGCUAGUUGGUGUGGUAACGGCAUACCAAGGCAAUGAUGGGUAGGGGUCCUGAGAGGGAGAUCCCCCACACUGGUACUGAGACACGGACCAGACUCCUACGGGAGGCAG